rnacentral:tRNA from 1 species
GCGCCCAUAGCUCAAUGGAUAGAGCGUAUCCCUGCGAAGGAUGAGAUUGAGGUUCGAUUCCCCAUGGGCGCACUA